rnacentral:sRNA from 1 species
GCCAGGUGCAGUGGUGCACACCUGUAAUCCCAGUAGCUCAGGAGGCUGAGGCAGGAGAAUCGCAGGUUCAAGCCAGCCUCAGCAAUUUAGCAAAGCCCUAAGCAACUUGGUGAGACCCUGUCUCUA